UAUGUAUAGAGCACUGUGAGGGUUGCCGGAGCAGUUAGAUGUGUCCUAUAUCCUUGAUCGCUUUGGAAGAAUGUGACCCCAACCCCCAUCAAACACAUAGGAGAGGGUGUGAGAAGUAAUUGUACUAAAGCCUGCCAGGCCAGGGUUCCUUCCUACUAAUCAUCAACCAGUGUUUUUGGACUUAAUAUAAUCACUUGGGUUGAACUUGAAUACUUAACUCUAAAGAUGAAUAGAGCACAAUGUAACAUGAAGAAUUCCAUUGUCUGAUAUGAAGUAAAUGUUGAUAAGUAGCUUUAAGUCCAACCAGGCCUCUGAGACAUCUGUGGGCUGUGUGUG